CUGUUCUUUAUGUUGGCCUCCUGACCAGGACUGAAUGACUCAGGGGUGAGGGUCCAUCCAUUUGCCUACAACCACUCUGGAAAUCAUUCUGGCGGUUCCUCAGAAAAUUGGACAUAGUACUACCGGAGGAUCCUGCNNNNNNNNNNNNNNAUCUGAAGUCUAAUUAGAGAGCAAUUGGUCACCACCGAGGUAUGUGUGACACAAAUGUACCCAUGUAAGCAUCCAGGAAAUAUCAGAAGCUAUAACCAUAAAGUCUCACUAACAUGAUCUAAAAAUGAGGUGAACAGGGACAACAACAGAAAUGUUAACAUGGAUGAGUGACAGCCAAAAAGGCCUCAACCCUACACAAAGAAGUACAGGCAACUAAGGAAUACUAGGGAAUGGAAGAAAUAGUCUUCUUCAGCAAAGAGCACACUGAUUGUUAUGCAACACCAAAUGGUCAGCCCUGAGAACUCAUGUAUUAGCAGCAUUACACAAACUGAGCAAAUAGAAUUUUAUCUUACCUACAAUAAUGACAAUGGAAAAAAACAAUGUCCUAUUGUUUUUUCAAGUAUUACCAGGCUUUAAUAUAAAAUGAAAAGCAUUCAUACUAGAAAAAAGCUUCCAAAAAGUCCAACGCUUCCUUGAUUAAGACAUGUGCAUGGUCAUUUAAAAAAAAAGCAGAAAAGGUGCUAAUCAGCCUCUCUGCACUGCAACCAUGACCGAGAACUCACAGCAAGGCAUGCUGGGGACGUAGCAGAGCUAUCCUCCCACGUACACACCAAGACCAGGACCUGCAGGAGCCUGAGUGCAUUCUUUAACGCAGGGACAUCAGCAGAUAUUUCUUCAGUAAUCUGAUCUGGCUUUAUAGCCAUGCCUAGCUCACAUAUCAUAAGAUCUUUGGGAAAAUAUACUCUGACU
ensembl:antisense Gm12002 predicted gene 12002